rnacentral:lncRNA from 1 species
CUUGUAUUGACAUUACGUAACAUAAAACGCAAGUCAUUGAACAUGGCUUAAUGGUUAAAUGUAGUAAAGGUAAAAUAAAGGAAGAGUUCCUCUACAGAAAGACAGAGAUUGAGGGAGAACAGAGGAAAGGAUUUACCUCUAAAUUUUAAACACAAUCAAAGAUACUCCGUUGAUUAUAUAGAGGUCCUGUUAAGGAUUCAAAUGAAAAACAUUCUUUAAUUGAAGUAGAGGACAUGCAGACCAUUAAAGGGUAUGGACCAGAACAAGGAUCGGGACAUGGAUCAAGACCUGGACAAAAACGGCCAGCUCCUCCAGAUUAUUUACGAGAUGAGACCCAAUAUAACCAACUGAAGACAUUCAAGUGUCUGGUAAGUAUGAGAGUCUGGAGGAGAGAGGAUUGGUUCAGGGUCAUUGUAAUGAAUGAUA